GCUAUAGCCAAGUGGUAAGGCAACGGACUUUGACUCCGUCAUUCGUUGGUUCGAAUCCAGCUAGC
rnacentral:tRNA from 1 species